rnacentral:lncRNA from 1 species
CCAAAGUAACACCUAUAAGUGUGUGUGUGUUUAUUUUUCUUUUCAUUUAAACAUUGAUAUAUUUCAAAAGCACCAAAUAUUGGAUCUGAACCAGCAAUUGGUUGCAUAGGUGGUCCAUCUCUUUUUGUUCUACAUGAAUCUUCAAACAGCGGUGAAAUAAAAGGGCAAUUGUUUAUAUAUCCUUAAAAAGUUUACGACUUUCUAAUUUAUCUCUCUCAGAAGACUAAUAUUAAAAAUAUAUUUUUUACAUUCCAACCUAUUUCAAAUAUAUCCCUAAUAAAGUUAAAAUCUGUUAAUAACUCGGUUAUCUUUAUGAAAUUACUAUUUUGCCUUUUCAAAUAUAUUUUUCUACCAGCACCAAUUUUUCUUAUUUGCUCUUAAGUUAAAGGCAUAAAAAGUAUUUUAUUCUUUGGUCUUUUCAAAUAUAUCCUUCUACCAUCAUCAACAUUUCUUAUUUGCCCUUAAGUUAAGGGUAAAACUGGCAUUUUAAUUUUUUUUAAUUGUGAUAGAUAUUUAACUCACGUUUAACCCAAACUAACUCAACGGGUGAUAACUACAGGAGUAUUUUGAAAUAACGGAGGAACAUAUAAGGGGUAUAUUAAAAAAAAAAGUAAGGAUAAAUAAAAUAUUUCAGAAGUUUUGAAGGGUAUAUAAGCAAUUAUCCCUAAAUAAAUUAGGUACAAAUCUAACUAAUA